rnacentral:rRNA from 1 species
AAACUAACAAGGAUUCCCCUAGUAACUGCGAGUGAGCGGGAUGAGCUCAAAUUUAAAAUCUGGCGGCAUUGGUCGUCCGAGUUGUAAUCUGGAGAAGCAUUUUCUGUGUCGGACCGUGCACAAGUUUCCUGGAACGGAAUGUCAUAGAGGGUGAGAGUCCCGUCCAUGGCACGGAUCACCGAUGCAUUGUGAUAUGCUCUCGAAGAGUCGAGUUGUUUGGGAAUGCAGCUCAAAAUGGGUGGUAAAUUCCAUCUAAAGCUAAAUAUUGGCGAGAGACCGAUAGCGAACAAGUACCGUGAGGGAAAGAUGAAAAGCACUUUGGAAAGAGAGUUAAACAGUACGUGAAAUUGUUGAAAGGGAAACGCUUGGAGUCAGUCGCGUUGGUCAGGAUUCAGUCGCUCUUACCGGAGUGGAUUACUUCCUGGUGAACGGGUCAACAUCGAUUUCGAACGGUGGAUAAAGGGGAGGGGAAUGUGGCACCUUCGGGUGUGUUAUAGCCCCUCUUUCGCAUACACCGGCCGGGAUCGAGGAUCGCAGCACGCCUUUAUGGCCGGGGGUUUACCUCACGUAACGUGCUUAGGAUGUUGGCAUAAUGGCUUUAAGCGACCCGUCU